rnacentral:rRNA from 1 species
CGGUAAGGCCCUUUUUCGGGGGUACACGAGUGGCGAACGGGUGAGUAACACGUGGGUGACCUGCCCUGUACUUCGGGAUAAGCCUGGGAAACUGGGUCUAAUACCGGAUAUGACCUUCUCCUGCAUGGGGGUUGGUGGAAAGUUUUUGCGGUACAGGAUGGGCCCGCGGCCUAUCAGCUUGUUGGUGGGGUAAUGGCCUACCAAGGCGACGACGGGUAGCCGGCCUGAGAGGGCGACCGGCCACACUGGGACUGAGACACGGCCCAGACUCCUACGGGAGGCAGCAGUGGGGAAUAUUGCACAAUGGGCGAAAGCCUGAUGCAGCGACGCCGCGUGAGGGAUGACGGCCUUCGGGUUGUAAACCUCUUUCAGUAGGGACGAAGCGCAAGUGACGGUACCUACAGAAGAAGCACCGGCCAACUACGUGCCAGCAGCCGCGGUAAUACGUAGGGUGCGAGCGUUGUCCGGAUUUACUGGGCGUAAAGAGCUCGUAGGCGGUUUGUCACGUCGUCUGUGAAAACCCGAGGCUUAACCUCGGGCCUGCAGGCGAUACGGGCAGACUUGAGUACUGUAGGGGAGACUGGAAUUCCUGGUGUAGCGGUGGAAUGCGCAGAUAUCAGGAGGAACACCGGUGGCGAAGGCGGGUCUCUGGGCAGUAACUGACGCUGAGGAGCGAAAGCGUGGGUAGCGAACAGGAUUAGAUACCCUGGUAGUCCACGCCGUAAACGGUGGGUACUAGGUGUGGGUUUCCUUCCACGGGAUCCGUGCCGUAGCUAACGCAUUAAGUACCCCGCCUGGGGAGUACGGCCGCAAGGCUAAAACUCA